AACGAACGCUGGCGGCGUGGAUAAGACAUGCAAGUCGAACGGGCGUAGCAAUACGUCAGUGGCGAAAGGGUGCGUAACACGUGGGCAAUCUGCCGGAAAGUGGGGGAUAGCUCGCCGAAAGGCGAAUUAAUACCGCAUGUGGUGAGCUAAGACAUCUUGGCGAAACUAAAGUCGGGGCAACCUGACGCUUUCUGAUGAGCCCGCGGCCUAUCAGCUAGUUGGUGAGGUAACGGCUCACCAAGGCAAUGACGGGUAGCUGGUCUGAGAGGACGACCAGCCACACUGGAACUGAGACACGGUCCAGACACCUACGGGUGGCAGCAGUCGAGAAUUUUUCUCAAUGGGCGAAAGCCUGAAGGAGCGACGCCGCGUGGAGGAUGAAGGGUUUCGGCUUGUAAACUCCUGUCAUUGGGGAACAAUGCUGUGAGGAGUAACUGCCUUGCAGUUGAUAGUACCCGAAGAGGAAGAGACGGCUAACUCUGUGCCAGCAGCCGCGGUAAUACAGAGGUCUCAAGCGUUGUUCGGAUUCAUUGGGCGUAAAGGGUGCGUAGGCGGUAGGGUAAGUCGGAUGUGAAAUCCCGGGGCUCAACCCCGGAACUGCAUUCGAUACUGCUUUACUUGAGGACUGGAGAGGAGAUUGGAAUUCACGGUGUAGCAGUGAAAUGCGUAGAUAUCGUGAGGAAGACCAGUGGCGAAGGCGAAUCUCUGGACAGAUCCUGACGCUGAGGCACGAAGGCUAGGGGAGCAAACGGGAUUAGAUACCCCGGUAGUCCUAGCAGUAAACGGUGCACGUUUAGUAUGGGAGGAUUCGACCCCUUCCGUGCUGGAGCUAACGCGUUAAACGUGCCGCCUGGGGAGUACGGUCGCAAGAUUA
rnacentral:rRNA from 1 species